rnacentral:tRNA from 1 species
UGGCCGAGUGUUUAGGCGGUAGGCUGUAGUCCUACUUACAGAGGUUUAAUUCCUUUCUUUAUCA